rnacentral:miRNA from 1 species
UGGCAAAAAUGUGUUGAUUGUAAUAGUUCCUAUUUUGAUUCAUAAAGAUAUGUUUGAGCCUAGUUAUAAGGAUUUAAAAUUUAUGAUCCAAAACUGCAGUCACUUUUGCACCAAC